GCCUUGUUAGUGCAGUAGGUAGUGUGUUAAUCUCAUAACCUGAAGGUUGUGAAUUUGAUCCUUGCAUGGGGCA